GAUGAACGCUGGCGGCGUGCUUAACACAUGCAAGUCGAACGAUGAAAGCGGGAGCUUGCUCCUGCUGGAUUAGUGGCGAACGGGUGAGUAACACGUGAGUAACCUGCCCUUGACUCUGGGAUAAGCGUUGGAAACGACGUCUAAUACCGGAUACGACCUUCGGAGGCAUAUCCUGGGGGUGGAAAGCAUUUCGGUCAAGGAUGGACUCGCGGCCUAUCAGCUAGUUGGUGAGGUAAUGGCUCACCAAGGCGACGACGGGUAGCCGGCCUGAGAGGGUGACCGGCCACACUGGGACUGAGACACGGCCCAGACUCCUACGGGAGGCAGCAGUGGGGAAUAUUGCACAAUGGGCGCAAGCCUGAUGCAGCAACGCCGCGUGAGGGACGACGGCCUUCGGGUUGUAAACCUCUUUUAGUAGGGAAGAAGCGAAAGUGACGGUACCUGCAGAAAAAGCACCGGCUAACUACGUGCCAGCCGCCGCCGUAAUAC
rnacentral:rRNA from 1 species